rnacentral:rRNA from 1 species
UCGCUGAGGGAUGGGCCUGCGGCCUAUCAGGUAGUUGGUGGGGUAAAGGCCUACCAAGCCUGCGACGGGUAGCCGGACUGAGAGGUCGACCGGCCACACUGGAACUGAGACACGGUCCAGACUCCUACGGGAGGCAGCAGUGGGGAAUAUUGCACAAUGGGGGAAACCCUGAUGCAGCGACGCCGCGUGGAGGAUGACGGCCUUCGGGUUGUAAACUCCUUUUGUCAGGGACAAUGGUGAUGGUACCUGACGAAUAAGCCACGGCUAACUCUGUGCCAGCAGCCGCGGUAAGACAGAGGUGGCGAGCGUUGUUCGGAAUUACUGGGCUUAAAGGGCGCGUAGGCGGUGGUGUAAGUCUGGGGUGGAAUGCUACAGCUCAACUGUAGAGCUGCCUUGGAAACUGCAUUACUUGAGUCGGUGAGGGGAAGGCGGAAUUCCUGGUGUAGCGGUGAAAUGCGUAGAUAUCAGGAGGAAGGUCUGUGGCGAAGGCGGCCUUCUGGCACUUGACUGACGCUGAGGCGCGAAAGCGUGGGGAGCAAACAGGAUUAGAUACCCUGGUAGUCCACGCCCUAAACGGUGGGUAUUAGGUGUGGGGCCUUCAUGGGUUCCGUGCCGUAGCGAAAGCA